rnacentral:rRNA from 1 species
GACGAACGCUGGCGGCGUGCCUAAUACAUGCAAGUCGAACGCAGUGGGGACGGGUGAGUAACACGUGGGUAACCUCCCAUCAGAGGGGAGAACACUUGGAAACAGGUGCUAAACCGAUACUGAUGGAUGGACCCGCGGUGCAUUAGCUAGUUGGUGAGGUAACGGCUCACCAAGGCCACGAUGCAUACCCGAACUGAGAGGGUGAGCGGCCACACGGUGACUGAGACACGGCCCAGACUCCUACGGGAGGCAGCAGUAGGGAAUCGUGGGCAAUGGACGAAAGUCUGACCGAGCAAUGCCGCGGGAGAGAAGAAGGGGUUCGGAUCGUAAAGCUCUGUUGUUAGAGAAGCGGUAGCUAACCAGAAAGCAACGGCUAACUACGUGCCAGCAGCGGCGGUAAUAC